CUUUAUAAGAGAAUCGAACAAAUACGAUUCAUACAUAUGUAUAUAUUUAGCAACUAAACGCGUCCCAUGCAGCCGUCCAGUACAUACGUAAGAUUCGGAAUUUGUAAACCCAUCCGUCACAAAUACCCAUUUACAAUCAUGGAUGUCUCACGGAUAACUGAGUGCACCCUUGCAAGUUGUGCCGAUAUUUGUAUACCAAUUAAAGAAUCGCUUGAUAAAAUUGGACGUAGUUAUAAGGAAACGAUGGACGGAAUUAAAUACUUUGAAAGCUACAUCAAAAAAAUAAUUGAAUUGGAAGUACACAGACAAUCAAACGAUUCAAAUAUGUCAAAAUUCGUGCAUGCGAAAAAUCUCACAUUACCCCAAAUUUGGCGUAAAGUGAGAAAAUGUCUUAGAAUUGUCUGAAACGUGUAAAAAUGCAAUAAAAAAUUUUCCCGUCAUUUCAUGUUGACACUUGAAAUUUUUUGAUUUUCGUCACCUGGAUUUUGCCCAACUUCGUGUUAUGUUUUCCCAAAAAGUGUGUCUGGGAUUUGGCCAAAUGUUGGGUCAUUACAUACACCCAUGACCCUAGUUUAUGGCGCAUAGGUCGUUGCCUGGGAAUUGGCCGAAUGUUGCGUCAUUAGACACACCUAUAAGGGUAGUUUAUGACCUAUAGGUCGUUGCCUGCGCCCUUUUCGAUUUAACAAUUUGCCAGCCAUUUUAAAUUGUCAAAUCAUCCGUUUUUGGCAAAAAUUCUGUUUCUUUGCCACGUUUUAUUUUUUCCCGCGAGAACGAUAGGAGUUAGGGGGCAUGUAUAAUAGCUUUUUUUAAUCAGCAUUAAAUUCUCUUCAAAGUGGGUGUGGUUUUGGGGGCAAUUUGAGAUUUUUUUGAAAUUUCAUAAAAACCCCCCCACACACAACACCCCUUUUCAAAAACCACAAUAACCUAUACUUAUUAUGCUCCCCCACCCACAUGGGUCCAUUAUAGACCUUAAAAUAAUUUAUUCGCUUUUUUCCCAAAAAUCACACUGUGUAAAGCCCAGACGCCAGAUGUUCAUGCCGUCGCAGUUCGAAGAAAUCGUAAAGAUCUGGGAUGAAGUAUGCAGCGAUUAUGAAGUGACAGAGUGGAAAGUUGGCCAUCAUGAUGACGAAACUCCGGUUGAGGGCAGCCCAGCGAAAAAGCAGAAAAUGGGGUGAUGUGUAGUGCAAUUUUACAAACUGCAAGUCAACAUUUAUAAUUAAGCAAUGUAAAUACGGGGCAUUAUUGACAAUAAUUAUUUGUAAAGAGACAAUCCGUCCAAAAUAGACAGGGGGAAGAUAUACAUAUAUAAGGUGAUUUUCCGAUAAGCGAAUCCUUCAAAAUUUUACAAUUUCCUCUAUUCCUUCGAAUUUUCUGGUAUUUAGUAAUUUUCAUUUAGAUAUAAAUUUUAACUUGUCAUGUAAAUAAAGCUAGCAAAUUAAAGAAGUAAUAAAUAAACCGUUGUAACGUUAGAA